rnacentral:misc_RNA from 1 species
CCGCACUUGCCGCUCAGGCUUUGAGCGUCACACACGUGUCGUCGCGCGUGCUUUAUUUUCCUUCGUCGUCGAAUGUAAACACAGAUUCACGCGGCAUUACACGCCCCUCGAGAUAAACCCACGCUACGCGUUACCUCUGCGUAAUAUUACGCGAGGUGGUUUUUUUUUAAUCACGAUCCGGUUGUACUAGUCCGGGAGGUAAUUACCGGGCGGUAAAUUGGAACGACUGUUAAUUGUGACCGGCGUGUCUGUGCGUCGAAACGCCCGUAGAUCGACCUUUGAGUAAACGCGUCUGUUCCCAGACGGAUGAUUGCGUUGAUAUUUCAUAUUUAAUACGCGGAAAAGUGUCGAAAUUAUUGAGGUGCGUCGAGUGGAUCCUACAGGUGUGUUAAACCGUGGUGAUUUGUAUUGGAUUGAACACAAGUCGCGUCGUCGCGGGAUAUAUACAUAAGUGUCUGCAAUAUAGCUGGGUCGGCAUGUUCCUUGACCCCUAGAAGCUCGCCCGAUCGAAGAUGGGGAAUAACAGCAGCUCCCAUCACCACCAUGCGCAGGGUGGAGUGGCUCGUGAAAUGGGACCGGGAUGGACCCACUCCUUCCCGCGGGAAAUGCAUCGACAACAUUUGCAAUCCUCGGGUCACAAGGUUCUCCCUGAACCCCCGAAUCAAAGGCUACGAGCUACGAACAAUGGAAGCAUCAUCCACAACGGUGGGACCAUCAGCGGACGGAGGCCUUCCGCGCUGACGUUGCCACACGAUCUUAACAAGCAAGCCGCCUAUCGUACCAGAAGUGCGUCAGCAUCAAAUUUUGGGCAACCGCGAGCACAGAACGGUGAUCUUCAAUACCAGCACGGGGAUCCGAGAGACAGGGAAUUCCAGGAAUUCAAAAGGUUUGGAAGCGAACCCGACCUGAGAUACUCGCCCACUGAACAGGGGAGAUACGAACGUCAUCAGGGAUAUCCGGAAAGAGACGCUAAGGAACGGGACAGCAGGUACAACAAGGGUAAGAAGAAGUACAAGGCACCGCCUCCGCCGAAUGGAGACGGCUCAUCGCCGGACUCCUACAACUGGUCACCUGGUAAUGACAGAGAAUCAAUGAGGCCUGGAGAGGAAAUACGACCACCGCCUAGGAAAUCGAGACUCUUCAAGACUCGCGCCGAGACGAAGAGGGCACAGGCGAAUUGGACGUCGCUUCAGGAACGGGAAGUUGAGAGCAAGAGGUGGAACGACGAGCAAUCCGGCAAGGAGAAUCUUGGCUGGAAGCAGCAGCAAGAACGUUGGGACAAAGAGGAAAGAAGGCCCAAAGUUUUCGAUGGAAAAAAUACGCUCCAGCGGAGUUUGAGCAGCCCAGAGUUUCAGGCCGAGCUGAUGUUAGCAGCGAGAAAAGUUAGGAGUAAAAUGAAUUAUCAGCGAGAGGGUCCGGUGGGAGAAGCCAGGCCUACGAGUCACAGAGAAUAUUUGACGAAAAAUCAGAAAGAAUUCAUUGAUGAGAGACGCAUCGAAGGGAAGAGCGCAAGACAACAGGAGGAACGGUUCAUCGACGAACGGAGAGCUGAGAAAAAGAAUUCGAGAAACCAGGAUGUUUCCUACGAUCAUAGAAGAACUGAACAGCAACACGACGGAGGGUUUCAGAGGGGGGCUUUAAACGAUCGUCAAAACGAACGAAAUUCAUGGCGAAAUAAAAUGUUGAAAAAGUCUGCGACUUACGAUGAUGAGAUUGCUGCGUCACAACGUAUAAUUGCCGAGAAGAAGUUGUUUAUGGACAGAAUUGAGAAGCGUGGGCAAUCUUUGGAUGAUCGACUUUCCGAUAAGCAGAAAAUGGAGAAUUUCGAAGAAAGGAGAGGUGAUCAACAUCGGCACAAAGCAUUCGACGAUUUCGUGGAGAUGGAGAAACGAGGCGAAACACAGACGAGAGCUGAGAGUCCUAUGCGACAGUAUAGGGACAAAAGUAACGAUCACAGAAGUCAGGGUUCAGGCAGGGAAAGUACGCCUGAGCCUUCAAAAAGUAAGGAUCUUGCUAAUUUUGAACUGCGUAACAACAUUAAAACGGAUUUCCGAAGCAGUGGUUAUAAAAAUGAGGAGAACAGACGUUCGGAGCCUAUUUUGAAAACGGACAAUCAGGAAUUGAAUUCAAAAGAAAAGCUGUCGAGGAAACCGGAUGUCAGGAGUCCGCCGGUGAAAAAUUGGGAGAUACUACCACCAGCUGGGAAAUCGCCUCCAAAGACAUUCUACUUUGGCAUGGAUAUCACUGCAACUUCGAAGGAAUCGCGAGAUCUAAUGGAACGUCAGAUGGAACAGAUUCAAGCAAGGCUUAAUCACAACAGAGAACUUAGUAGCUCACCUGAGACCUCACCUGGUGAGAUGGAUGAUAAUUUUCAGGAUAAGAUCCUACAUACUGGGGAGGACAUUGCUUUAAAGUUACGGCCUACACUACCGAAGAAGCAAUUGGAAAUUCCUCGGUUUUCACCAUCAGCUGCUUGGAGAUUGCUAUCUGCAUUAGAUGCUCCAUAUCCAACUAUGAGCACAGCAAGCGAAGAAGGACCGGUACUGUUCGAAGAACGCAUAGAACGUUUAUCGAGACCACCGCCACCUCUGGUAGCUCUUGGUCCACGAAGUUCGCAUGACAAAUCUGGAGACUCUGGAAUUUCGGGUGAUGCUGGAGCUCUCAACGACGACCCGUUGGAUAUAAUCACAAACCGAGCAAAGGCUUCGAUUAGACCGGCUUGGACGCCUCAACAAGAUCUGGGCGAGGAAUCUAGUAGCGAUGCAGGUGUUGAUUCUCCUCCACCUAUGGCUACGCCGGUCAAGUUUCCCCCAAGACCUCAUGUUUUUUCUCUAUCCUUACCCAGAGAUGACAAUAGAAUGUCGUUGUACAAUCCCGAAUUCAAGAACAAAGAGUCGUCCUCUUUUAAUUCCUUGCAGAAAUUGAAAAGAUCUGUCUCUGGAGCUCUCGGAUUAGGAGCCAUAGAUGUUGACAGGAAACAAGAUAACGAUGUUUUAGAUGGGAAUUGGCUUUUAUCUACGAGUGCUCCAAAUUCUUUGCAACAUACUCCACCAAACGUUGAAGGAACUAAUACACCAUCUCCUGGAUGGGAAACCAAUUUUCCGGAAAAUGAAGAUGACGAAAAGCCUGAAUUUCCGAUUAUUAUGAAACCACCAUCAUUUUCUUAUCUAGCCUCCGGUGGACACGUUAUGUAUCUACCCGAAUCCAAUGCUACCGAAUAUCAAACGCAAAGUCUCAAUUACCGUAACAGUAGUACCGAGGAAAAGAAUUCAAAUAACUCUAAUAUAAAGUAUAAAAAGAGUACAAACGAAUCGAAAAAAGUAUUCAGAUAUCCCAGUGCAGACAUUCAAAAAUAUUCCAAAGAAUCCAAAGAGUUUGGGCUCUUCAGAGAAAGACGAUUUACCGAUGGUGGAUUAACGUCGAGAAAGUAUUCAAACUUAUCAAAAUCAUGCGAGAACAUUUCGGAAAUGAAACAAAGAGAACGUUCACCGUCACCUGGACCGGAAAACUUACAAGAUGUCAAGGAUAGUUUAUCUGAUCUAAAGGCUUCUGCAAAACGUAACUCUAAAAGCAAACGGUUUACAUUCCAGUCAACUGUACGACAAAUCGAGAGACGCAGACUAGCAGAAAAGUUGUCUCGAGAAGCAGAAGCUAAGGAACAGCAAAGAAAAGGAGAGCUAGAAGCAAUGAGGAAAGUCGAAGAAGAGUUUCAGAAAAAACGUGCAAGAGAAAAGGCCAAUAUUAGGCAACAGCUUAGACUGUUCAACAUGGAUGAAACUACCGGAAGCCUACCAGUUGUCUGGGACAAUACGCAGUUAUCUCGUGCGGACCCUGACGGUGCACCUUCGUCGUCAGCUUCAUCCCCUAUCUCGGCGCCGCCUAGUAAACUAUCAGCGGCGAGAAAAAACAGUGCUAGUAGUGACGAAUACAAUCGAAAAGCUAAUCUUAGUUUACACCAUAUGCAUUCUGAAUAUCGACAACAUCAACAACAAAGAGAGUAUAAAGACUACAGGUCAAGGUAUUACGACUGUGGUCCUGAAAGUGCACCACACAUUGAAUUCAAGCAAACUACAAUUCAUCCGAAAGUCGUGUACGAUAUUCCCAAGAGCGCUCCUGUCUUUGUUGACGCAAAAAUUCAUCCAAACAAACCAGUAAAUCUUAAUUCUACUCCUAGGUCAGACAACUAUAGGAAAGAUUUUGCACACGGUGCCGUAGCAGCAAGAUCGUCGCUGGCAAGCAGCGAUAGCGAGUUAUCUCAGCCAAAUACCAGACCACAUUCACGGCAAACGCCAACUAAAGUCAGAAUUCAUCGAUCUAGGUUUUAAGGUGGGCAUAAAGUAAGUAGUCUUAACACCUCUAGUCACCUAACAACGCUUCAUUAAAACAAACGCAAUCAACCGCUUCUAACUACGCCUUGGGUUGGGUGUAGUUCACAACAGUAUAACGCAUAGGUCGGCAAGCCCUGCCAGGAGCCAUGAGGAUGCCAGCUCGGAAGAGGAAUCCCCCGUCGAACCAAUCACACGUGAAAGAGUGCCGUCAAAUAAUUUGAUGCUAAACGCAAUCCAACCAUUUGUCAGGGAAAAAAGUUAUCG